rnacentral:rRNA from 1 species
UUCAGACUUCGAUCCGAACUGAGACCGGCUUUGGAGAUUUGCAUCCUGUCACCAGGUAGCUGCCCUCUGUACCGGCCAUUGUAGCACGUGUGUAGCCCUGGACGUAAGGGCCGUGCUGAUUUGACGUCAUCCCCGCCUUCCUCACUACUUGCGUAGGCAGUUUCUUUAGAGUCCCCAGCAUUACCUGAUGGCAACUAAAGAUAGGGGUUGCGCUCGUUAUGGGACUUAACCCGACACCUCACGGCACGAGCUGACGACAACCAUGCAGCACCUCGUAGAAUGUCCGAAGAAGAUCACGUUUCCGCGACUGUCAUUCCACGUUCGAGCCCAGGUAAGGUUCCUCGCGUAUCAUCGAACUAUACCACAUGCUCCACCGCUUGUGCCCCCCCGUGCCCCCGCCCCGCCCCGCCCGCGCGCCGGCGGGCGAAUCUCUAGAGGAUCCCCGG